UACGUAGGGUGCGAGCGUUGUCCGGAAUUAUUGGGCGUAAAGAGCUCGUAGGUGGCGGGUCACGUCGGGUGUGAAAGCCCGGGGCUUAACUCCGGGUCUGCAUUCGAUACGGGUCUGCUGGGGUCCGGCAGGGGAGACUGGAAUUCCUGGUGUAGCGGUGAAAUGCGUAGAUAUCAGGAAGAACACCCGUGGCUAAGGCGGCUCUCUAGUACGGUACUGACGCUGAGACGCGAAAGCGUGGGGAGCGAACAGG
rnacentral:rRNA from 1 species